rnacentral:lncRNA from 1 species
GUAAACGUGAUACUUACUCACUGCAAUAGACUGCUGUGAACCAUAUUCCAGCAGCAACCUUUGAAAUCCAUCACUUGACUGCACACAAGUGUGGUCUAAAAGGGACUUGUUGGAGACAUGUUUCUUUCCAGAAUGCCACCUACCUCGAUUCUUUAACUUUUCUCUCUGAAUUUACAUGGCUUUCUGGUUUAGCAUUGCAUAUCCAAGACACACAAGAAAUUUGAGAUAUUCAGUCCAAGGUAAAUUAAGGGAAUGUGAUUAUCAGGACUUUGAAAGACCCAGUAGUCACCAGCUAAAAUGUACCACAAAAAGAACCCAGCUACGACAACAAGGGAAGUCCCUGAAAAAGGCUGGAAGCAAAAUGACCAUAAUUGAAAUCUGAAAGCAGCAACUUCAUAGAGAAGUAAACGAAGAGGCGGCUCUUUGUAAAUGAUGAUCUAAAAAGUGUUCUGGGUUGUAAGACCUCAUUUCAAAUGUAUUCAUUAAAUAAUAUUUGAAUCAUUUAACAGUUUGAACUCUACUGCACUGCUAAUAUCUUCAGGGGAUUUUUUUUUUUCAGUAACAAAGACGCCUUUGUUCCCUGCUCAGUGCUUGGGCUGUGCCUUGGAUAUUAGCUGGAAACCUGAUCGCCCGACAUCGCUCCGAGGCUGCGAGUACAAUGUGAGUCGUCUGCAACCGGGAUUAAAUCAGGCCCUUUGUAGGGAUGCUGAGGAGCCGUGAUGAUGGUUAUGGACAGCAGGAGGUCGUUAACCCUUUGUGCCUCCGGCGGGGAGAUGGGAGGUUUGGGG